rnacentral:rRNA from 1 species
UGUACGUGGUACGGAUCUAGAAAGGUGAAGGACGGUACCUUCGGGUACCGAGCGUACACAGGUGCUGCAUGGCUGUCGUCAGCUCGUGUCGUGAGAUGUUGGGUUAAGUCCCGCAACGAGCGCAACCCUUGCCUUUAGUUGCCAGCAGUUCGGCUGGGCACUCUAAAGGGACUGCCGGUGUUAAACCGGAGGAAGGUGGGGAUGACGUCAAGUCCUCAUGGCCUUUAUGACCAGGGCUACACACGUACUACAAUGGCCGAUACAAAGGGCAGCGACACUGCGAGGUGAAGCCAAUCCCGUAAAAUCGGUCUCAGUCCGGAUUGGAGUCUGCAACUCGACUCCAUGAAGUUGGAAUCGCUAGUAAUCGUGGAUCAGCAUGCCACGGUGAAUACGUUCCCGGGCCUU